UUGAUCCCUUGCUGGCUGAUUUCCUCGCAAGACUCCCUAGCUGACGACUUGGAAAAAAGUCGAUCACUUUUUUCGAAAAAGUCGAGGAGCUUUUGUCGUGAGUAUCUUUGAAUCACAGACGGCGCCAACUGAUGGGGGUGAAACCCGACCAGUACUCCAAGACGCACAAGCAAGCGCCAAGCGGGGAACUCCGCGGGAAACCGGAC
rnacentral:lncRNA from 1 species